rnacentral:lncRNA from 1 species
CAGAGAAAUAAUAAUGCCGUAAAUAAAAAUCUUUCUGACAUUGCAAUUACCGAUAGAAAAAUUGACACAUUAAAAAAAAGGAAUUUCACAAUUGGUAGCUGCAUAAAUGGAAUAACUAGUUCUAGAUCAGUUUUUUAAUAGCAUGACAUAUACAUAUAUAUAUAUAUAUAUACAUAUACAUAUAUAUACAUAUGUAUAUAUAAUUCGGAGGUGUAUAUGUCCUCCCCGCCCGAAUAGUUGAUAGAAUAUAAUUUGAAUUUGAAUAUGAUUGAGAUCUAAAAAAUAAAAUAAUAAUAAAUAAUAAUAAAAAAUAUAAUAAUAUUACAUCCAUUGUUAGCAUGUCUUAAUUAUAUAAGACCCAUCAUCAGCGUGCAAGAUCACAAUUGCAUGGGAUCUAUGAUUUAUGGUGUGCAGACGAAGAAUAACGAAGGAAGCAGACAAGAAGGGUGCAUUGUGUCGUGGACAUUAUCAUUGAAGCACAAGAAUACUCCCAGGAUGAAGGAGGCCACGUUCGCAAGCAUCCAAAGAAGUGGCAGCCAAAAAAUCUCAUCUUUUCAUGCAUGCAUGCACUCAAGAGGCUAUAAAGAAGGCCUAGGACCUAUAAAGAAGAUGCAUCAUGACCAAUAAGAAAGGAGAAGUAAAUAAUGCAUGGGAGCACUAUUGAAGCCAGCCAUAUCUUGCCUUUAAAAGGAGCCUUCUUGCUGCAAUGGAGGACACACAACAUUCCUGAGAACACAAGCCUUCAAUAGCACAAAGUUAGAGCAGCUAGCGAGCAAACAAUCUGCUCUCUAGUAGUAGUAGUACCUCUUCCCACUGUAAUAAAGCCAAUAUAAUCAAGGCAGUGUAACAUA